CUAGACACCCCAGCUUACUAGCUAGAUCUUGGUAAGCUACCUUGAACCUCAUGGAGCACUAAAUUAUCUGCGAAAUUUUGGAGAUAAUUACAGUACCCAAUUCACAGUGUUGCUUUGAGAUUCAAUGAGCUAGCAAAGAACACAAAGUGGUUUGGCGACAUAAUAAAUGCUUGCUAUUGUUUUUUAACUGGUCUCUCUGCUUCUAGAUUCUCCCCUUCCAAUCGAUCCCAUACAUCCAGAUGCAUUUAUCUUCCUAAAUCACAACAGGAUGUCAUGUUCCUGACCAGGAGUUUAUAAUGGCAACCAGCAAGCACCAACAGACUCAAGUCCAAGAACUCCUAGCCUAACAUCACCUUCAUUUCCAGGGCACCCUCCAUCUCCCAUUCCUCCAGAUAAAGACUCAG
rnacentral:lncRNA from 10 species